CGCGGGGUGGAGCAGUUGGCAGCUCGUUGGGCUCAUAACCCAAAGGUCAUAGGUUCAAGUCCUAUCCCCGCAACCA
rnacentral:tRNA from 1 species